rnacentral:rRNA from 1 species
UACGUAGGUCCCGAGCGUUGUCCGGAUUUAUUGGGCGUAAAGCGAGCGCAGGUGGUUUAUUAAGUCUGGUGUAAAAGGCAGUGGCUCAACCAUUGUAUGCAUUGGAAACUGGUAGACUUGAGUGCAGAAGAGGAGAGUGGAAUUCCAUGUGUAGCGGUGAAAUGCGUAGAUAUAUGGAGGAACACCGGUGGCGAAGGCGGCCUGCUGGACUGCAACUGACGUUGAGGCCCGAAAGCGUGGGGAGCAAACAGG